rnacentral:rRNA from 1 species
AUUGAACGCUGGCGGCAGGCCUAACACAUGCAAGUCGAGCGAGCGGCGGACGGGUGAGUAAUGUAUGGGGACUGCCCGAUGGAGGGGGAUAACUACUGGAAACGGUGGCUAAUACCGCAUACUAUCGGAUAACCCAUAUGGGAUUAGCUAGUAGGUGGGGUAAAGGCUCACCUAGGCGACGAUCUCUAGCUGGUCUGAGAGGAUGAUCUGCACCACUGGGACUGGGCCCGGGCCCAGACUCCUCCGGAGCCAGAAUUGGGGAAUAUUGCACAAGGGGCGCAAGCCUGAUGCAGCCAUGCCGCGUGUAUGAAGAAGGCCUUAGGGUUGUAAAGUACUUUCAGCGGGGAGGCGUUACCCGCAGAAGAAGCACCGGCUAACUCCGUGCCAGCAGCCGCGGUAAUAC